rnacentral:lncRNA from 1 species
UAAGAAUAUUCCAAAAUCACAAAUGGAGGUUUAAGAGCAGUGAUAAAAGGUUCUUAUUUAAUACACUUGGAGCCUAUUCUGCGUCAUACUUCUAGAUCUAUAUUGAACCUAGGACCAGUACAAAAGACCUACAAGACCUGAGAACUCAAAAAAGGUUCUUUCACUUGAUUUCUAGAAGAAAUAAUCAUGAAAAUCAAGAUAUACUUCCUCAAUCACAGAGUUCACUGAUUGGUAACUUUCAAAAGGCAUUUGGCUCAUCUCACCCACAUCUAUCAUCACUGGCCUCGUAGACGGCUCGUGUGGACAAUCCCCUUCCCCCACGAAGAUAAAUUGGACGCUGGAGAGUGAUAAAAGAGCGCUGCUAGUGUACGGGAGCAGUCGGUAAUGGGAAGAAGAGAAUGAAGAAACUUUUAAAGAGGCUUUCAUGGACUCAGCCUGGAAGGCGGAAUUUGCCCGAGCUCACGAUCUUAAUGAAUGAAGGAUAGAAUCGGAGAUUUCUUUCUUGUCCCUCCACUCCCCUCCCCCUGUCUACUCAGCCUCCCUUUGCUGGUAUUUCAAAGUAAAGCAAGCCUCGAGUCCGAGAGCGGGGGAAGGGCGGCAGAGUAGAUUGAGCAUCUUAGUCUACCCCCCAAAGGCUCUAGGACUAGUCCCCCCCAGCUUCCCUUCCCCGGGAGAAGUAAGGCCUGGGGGAAUUGAGACUUGCUUCAUCCCACCAAAGGGCAGCAAUGAGAUCGGUACUUUCCAUUUUCUUGCACAGAGAUGGGGCAGGGACG